CUUAGAGAAAUAUGGCAAAUCAACCACCCACUCCCCCAGGAAUGCAGGCCAACCCAGUACUUAGCCAUCAGCCAUUUUUUUUUUGGUAUUCUUCACUUGAAUGCUGUUUAUUUUUUUCUACUUCCAAUGAACAAGAGGAAGACUUCUUUUCAAAAGGAUGCUCAAGAAGUUGCUGGGCUCUCAGGGAUAAACCUGAAGCUAGGACCAGGAGAGGGUAGCAUCCUGGGAUUUGAAACUCCUCUGCAUCCUUUGCCCCAACACAUAAAUUUUGCCAAGUAUUCCAGGUCAUAGCUCUCUGAUUGUCAUUGUGUACUUCUUUGUGGUAGGGGCCAUCAGGACAAUUACAUCGGCCACAUCUCAGCUAGAAGCUCACAAUCUAAGACAGAUCUGUAGAGGAUGGAUAUAUACCUAUAAGCCAAAUAAAAAUCUUAAAUUAACACCCA
rnacentral:lncRNA from 1 species